CACAACUUCAUCUUUUUCGGUGCGAAGUGUCUACAUUUCGCUUAAAAGGGAAGCCGGUUCAAGUCCGGCGCGGUCCCGCCACUGUACUAGGGAGUUUUAUAGAUAAAUGUCACUGUCCAAAGGAUGGGAAGGCCUAUAAAAUGUCGAACUAAAGCCAGGAGACCUGCCGAAAAACACGUGAUCGU
rnacentral:ncRNA from 2 species